GCCUGGAUCUUGCCCUUUCAUCUCAAGCUAAGCGACUAUGUUUGGGCCCUGCAAUGAGCUUAAGGUCUGUUUGCCAAGUACAGUAGCUGCUGGACUGUUUGCCAACCACCUGGAAGGACUGCCUGUCUGACCAAGAGUACGCAGGGGCCUGACUCACGGCCCCCACUCGAAGGGUGAAUGGAAAGUCUGUUGGUUCGCAGCUCACCAUGUACAAGAUCCACGCUCGCCAAGGCCUCUUGCUGGCACCCGGCUGCUGAUAAACCUGUCAGGAACAAUUGUAUCCCAGUGCACAUGGGCUGCCAACCCCCUGCCUGCCGGGGUUUCACCUUCCAGAUUGCUCCCUUGCCUGAACAAUUGAAAUUGGAAGGGGAGGGCUUGUUUCCUUCAUACUCCUUCCCUGGUUGUUCCUAGAUGUUGGACCCUGCUUCCAAAGGGACCCAAUAUGGAAAGACAAGGCUCCUGUCACUGAGUCAGUGGGCAAGUGAGGUCAGAAAAUUAGGAUGAGCCACCCUCAAGGCCCAGCCCCAGCCCACAGAGAGGAGAAGGGCUGAGAUAGGAGCCAGAAACACCAGAAUGUCAACCCAGACUCUCCCAUUUACAAGAUGAACCUUGGACAUAGCACAUAUUUCACCAGGCCUCAAUUCCUUUCUACUUCCAAAGCAGAGAUGAUAACAGCACCCCUGUCACUAUUUUGUCUUGAGGAUGGAUUGCAGUGAAUAACAAGUACAUAGCACAAGGUCUGACAGCGAGUACUGACAGAUGGACCACAAAUGUCAUGUCGUCAUUGCUGUCAUCAUCAGCAUCACCAUCCUUGUCCUCAGGAGGUGAUGGAAAGCUAGACUAUUGGCAGGGAAGCAGUAAAGGAAAGACAGGCCAGACAAGAGGACAUCAGGAACCUUAGCUGAAACAUUAUUGCCCUCAGGGUAUCUGUACUCAGGGAUUGCUCUCAGGGUAUCUGUACUCAGGAAGGCAAAGUGGGCUAGCACCAGAGAAGUAUUCUCCUUCUGCUAGUAGCAGCACAUGGUGCUUGACGUCAGCGUUUGGAAUCCUCUUUGGAGUGGUAACGGGAAACAAGGCAGCAGUGGACUUUCUCCAAAAUUGGUGGAUGCCAACAUCCGAUGUCUCUGUUCAGAAUAGGAACCACCUCCAGCACCUUCCACCAUUGUGUAACUUGCAGACUGCACUGACUUCCUCUGAGCUCACUUCUUUUGCAAGGUGAGGGCCAGCAUCCAAGGUCUUCUUGCUGGAGGCUUCUCUCCUUUUCCUCCUCCAGCCCAUCCCUGUCCCUUCCCUGUGCUGAAAUUCUUUAUCCUACCUGUGAAUGGUGCUUAAUAUGGCUGGUAGAGAUUUGGAUAUUCCUGACUGGAAUUCCACAUUACAACCCAAAACCUGCUUGGGGGCCAGUGGAGUA
rnacentral:lncRNA from 1 species